rnacentral:rRNA from 1 species
GAUGAACGCUGGUGGUAUGCUUAACACAUGCAAGUCGAACGGUCACUUCGGUGAUAGUGGCGGACGGGUGAGUAACGCGUGAGAAUCUGUCUUCAGGUCGGGGACAACAGUUAGAAAUGACUGCUAAUACCGGAUGUGCCUUUGGGUGAAAGAUUUAUUGCCUGAAAAAGAGCUCGCGUCAGAUUAGCUAGUAGGUGGUGUAAGAGACUACCUAGGCUCCGAUCUGUAGCUGGUCUGAGAGGACGAUCAGCCACACUGGAACUGAGACACGGUCCAGACUCCUACGGGAGGCAGCAGUGGGGAAUUUUCCGCAAUGGGCGAAAGCCUGACGGAGCAAUACCGCGUGAGGGACGAAGGCUUUUGGGUCGUAAACCUCUUUUCUCAAGGAAGAUGAUGACGGUACUUGAGGAAUAAGCAUCGGCUAACUCUGUG